rnacentral:tRNA from 1 species
CAGGGAGACAACACAAUGAUUUUGAUGCCUGAGUGCUUUUAUUCUUAGGUCAAAAUCCUGUCACCUUAGGUCGAUCGGUACCUCAGCUUUGAAGUUAAGGAUCAGCAGUAAUGAUGAUUGCUUGAUGGAGAUUUUCAGUUUCUAAACUUUGUCUAGGUCACACCCCAAAAGGGAUGAGACUCCUGGGCCAUUAGCUCAGGUGGUUAGAGCGCACCCCUGAUAAGGGUGAGGUCCCUGGUUCAAGUCCAGGAUGGCCCAUUCGGUGUUGGGGGUUUAGCUCAGUUGGUAGAGCGCCUGCUUUGCAAGCAGGAUGUCAGGAGUUCGAGUCUCCUAACCUCCACUGACCGAACUUAAUUCCCAUCUCCAAUUUUUUGGAGUUGAGCUCGAUUGGAGUGUGAUUUAGAUGUGUCCGCUGGAUGACCCCAGCUUCCUGUCAUUCCAAGUCUUAGGUUGAAGCCUUGAAUUUGGUUGACAAGAUGCUGGGCUCAGAUUAAAUGAUCAAGCAAUUGAUGAUUUGAUUUGAAGUUCUAGCAGAACCUUGACAACUGCAUAGGUGAGUCUGGGAAAAAACAAAGCAUCUUACAGAUGCAUUGUUUUGAAUCUGAUCUUCUGAAAAGGGAGGGUUAGAUCUAGAACAAUGAAAAUUCUUUUGAGCAAGAGCCGAGACUCUUAAACGUCUUUUGAUUCGUGUCGAGCGAAUCGCGAGUUUGAUCUUUGUUUUUUAUCAAUAAAAAAACCUGAGAAUCUGCUGUUCUAACAGCGGUUAGCGGUUUGUGGAGGGAUGAUAUAUGG